AGUGGGGAAUAUUGGACAAUGGGCGCAAGCCUGAUCCAGCCAUGCCGCGUGAGUGAUGAAGGCCCUAGGGUUGUAAAGCUCUUUCACCGGUGAAGAUAAUGACGGUAACCGGAGAAGAAGCCCCGGCUAACUUCGUGCCAGCAGCCGCGGUAAUACGAAGGGGGCUAGCGUUGUUCGGAUUUACUGGGCGUAAAGCGCACGUAGGCGGACUAUUAAGUCAGGGGUGAAAUCCCGGGGCUCAACCCCGGAACUGCCUUUGAUACUGGUAGUCUUGAGUUCGAGAGAGGUGAGUGGAAUUCCGAGUGUAGAGGUGAAAUUCGUAGAUAUUCGGAGGAACACCAGUGGCGAAGGCGGCUCACUGGCUCGAUACUGACGCUGAGGUGCGAAAGCGUGGGGAGCAAA
rnacentral:rRNA from 1 species